AUUGAACGCUGGCGGCAGGCUUAACACAUGCAAGUCGAGCGGGGUGAUGGUGCUUGCACUAUCACUUAGCGGCGGACGGGUGAGUAAUGCUUAGGGAUCUGCCUAUUAGUGGGGGACAACAUCUCGAAAGGGAUGCUAAUACCGCAUACGUCCUACGGGAGAAAGCAGGGGAUCACUUGUGACCUUGCGCUAAUAGAUGAGCCUAAGUCGGAUUAGCUAGUUGGUGGGGUAAAGGCCUACCAAGGCGACGAUCUGUAGCGGGUCUGAGAGGAGGAUCCGCCACACUGGGACUGAGACACGGCCCAGACUCCUACGGGAGGCAGCAGUGGGGAAUAUUGGACAAUGGGGGGAACCCUGAUCCAGCCAUGCCGCGUGUGUGAAGAAGGCCUUAUGGUUGUAAAGCACUUUUGGCAGGGAGGAAAUCCCUAGUGCUAAUAACACUGGGGGAUGACAGUACCUGAAGAAUAAGCACCGGCUAACUACGUGCCAGCCGCCGCCGUAAGAC
rnacentral:rRNA from 1 species